rnacentral:tRNA from 1 species
GGUAAAGUGGCUCAGUGGUAGAGUGCUUGCCUUGCAUGCAUGAGGCCCUGGUUCGAUUCCUCAGCACCA